GUUUUUGAGUCUUCAUUCCAUUAUACAUGGAAUGUUGGUGUCUUCCAAGUGCAGCAAGAUGCUGUUGGUGCCACUUAACUCUAUAAACUGUGAGCUUAUUGGAACUGACAGAUGUUUGAAAACUGAUAAAAAAGAGGGUACUGCCAGAAGACAGAGCAAGAAAAAAUAACUUUGUGUUCAGCUCAAUGAAUUCAGUUCAGCUGGUGCUGGAAGAGUGAGGUUUUUCUGUUUUUCCUCCUGGCAUGCCAGGAAGGCCUUUGCAAUAAGGUUUGCAAAGCACACAAGGACCUCUGUGUUUUUAGCAGUACUUAACAAAACUAGAAUGUUUUGCUUUGGGGAAGACAGCUGACACAUUCUGCUCCUGGUCAGAUGUUUGCAGAAUCAGGGCUGAGGUGAAGAGGCUUCAGAGCAAUGCUGGACUGAGGAGACACUGAGGAGAAAAGGAGAGGAAAAAUCUUUGGGAGAAGAUUUCUGGUUAGAGUCUUAGAUAUUGCUCAGCAGCAGGAUGAAGUGAAGAAAAAUAGAGGGAAGCUUCGGAGCAGGAGUGAAAAUUCAUAAAUAAAAAUCUAUGGCUGACAGGGCA